rnacentral:rRNA from 1 species
GGCUCAGGAUAAACGCUGGCGGCGUGCUUAACACAUGCAAGUCGAACGGAGUGGUCCUCCCGAAGACCUGAUGAGCUUGCUCUGAUGGAAUUCAUUUGGAUCACUUAGUGGCGGACGGGUGAGUAACGCGUGGGAAACCUGCCCUAUACUGGGGGAUAGCAGUUGGAAACGACUGAUAAUACCGCAUAAGCGCACAGCACCGCAUGGUGCAGUGUGAAAAACUCCGGUGGUAUAGGAUGGUCCCGCGUCUGAUUAGCUAGUUGGUGAGGUAACGGCCCACCAAGGCGACGAUCAGUAGCCGGCCUGAGAGGGUGUACGGCCACAUUGGGACUGAGACACGGCCCAAACUCCUACGGGAGGCAGCAGUGGGGAAUAUUGGACAAUGGGGGAAACCCUGAUCCAGCCGACGCCGCGUGAGUGAAGAAGUAUCUCGGUAUGUAAAGCUCUAUCAGCAGGGAAGAUAAUGACGGUACCUGACUAAGAAGCACCGGCUAAAUACGUGCCAGCCGCCGC